GACGAACGCUGGCGGCGUGCUUAACACAUGCAAGUCGAACGGAAAGGCCUCUUUCGGGGGGUACUCGAGUGGCGAACGGGUGAGUAACACGUGAGUAACCUGCCCUUGACUUUGGGAUAACUUCAGGAAACUGGGGCUAAUACCGGAUACGAGCUCCUGCUGCAUGGUGGGGGUUGGAAAGUUUCGGCGGUUGGGGAUGGACUCGCGGCUUAUCAGCUUGUUGGUGGGGUAGUGGCUUACCAAGGCUUUGACGGGUAGCCGGCCUGAGAGGGUGACCGGCCACAUUGGGACUGAGAUACGGCCCAGACUCCUACGGGAGGCAGCAGUGGGGAAUAUUGCACAAUGGGUGGAAGCCUGAUGCAGCAACGCCGUGUGCGGGAUGACGGCCUUCGGGUUGUAAACCGCUUUCGCUCAUGACGAAGCUUUGUGUGACGGUAGUGGGUAAAGAAGCACCGGCUAACUACGUG
rnacentral:rRNA from 1 species